rnacentral:rRNA from 1 species
GGAGUUAGUGGCGGACGGGUGAGUAACACGUGGGAACGUGCCUUUAGGUUCGGAAUAACUCAGGGAAACUUGUGCUAAUACCGAAUGUGCCCUUCGGGGGAAAGAUUUAUCGCCUUUAGAGCGGCCCGCGUCUGAUUAGCUAGUUGGUGAGGUAAAGGCUCACCAAGGCGACGAUCAGUAGCUGGUCUGAGAGGAUGAUCAGCCACAUUGGGACUGAGACACGGCCCAAACUCCUACGGGAGGCAGCAGUGGGGAAUCUUGCGCAAUGGGCGAAAGCCUGACGCAGCCAUGCCGCGUGAAUGAUGAAGGUCUUAGGAUUGUAAAAUUCUUUCACCGGGGACGAUAAUGACGGUACCCGGAGAAGAAGCCCCGGCUAACUUCGUGCCAGCAGCCGCGGUAAUACGAAGGGGGCUAGCGUUGCUCGGAAUUACUGGGCGUAAAGGGAGCGUAGGCGGACAUUUAAGUCAGGGGUGAAAUCCCGGGGCUCAACCUCGGAAUUGCCUUUGAUACUGGGUGUCUUGAGUAUGAGAGAGGUGUGUGGAACUCCGAGUGUAGAGGUGAAAUUCGUAGAUAUUCGGAAGAACACCAGUGGCGAAGGCGACACACUGGCUCAUUACUGACGCUGAGGCUCGAAAGCGUGGGGAGCAAACAGGAUUAGAUACCCUGGUAGUCCACGCCGUAACGAUGAUUGCUAGUUGUCGGGAUGCAUGCAUUUCGGUGACGCAGCUAACGCAUUAAGCAAUCCGCCUGGGGAGUACGGUCGCAAGAUUAAAACUCAAAGGAAUUGACGGGGGCCCGCA